rnacentral:lncRNA from 1 species
AUGGAUUGGAAAUAUUGAAGCUCAAAGGUAUAGAAUGAAGCUGACAUGAUGUGUCUUCUAAGAAAGUAUAUAACUGAUCUGAAACAUUUAAACUUCUAUCACAAAACUGAAUUCUGAGUUGACUUUCCCUUACUUGCUUCAAGACACUGAUUCAUGCUAAGAGUUUAGGAUUCCCUUGAAGUGUUCAUGAUCCAAUCAUACAUAUUGAAUUGAGAAGUGAUAACUUAUGCAAUUACGAAUCAUGAGGCAUCAAGACUUAGAUUGUACCAGGGUAUUAUACUAACUGGGCUAAAAUACUUGGAAGUAUUUGAGAUUAUGCACUGAACACUUAUGAACUGAGUCACGACUAAAUAGCUGAAUCUGAAACAUGAUGCUUUGAN